rnacentral:rRNA from 1 species
UACGGAAGGCAGCAGUGGGGAAUAUUGCACAAUGGGCGCAAGCCUGAUGCAGCCAUGCCGCGUGUAUGAAGAAGGCCUUCGGGUUGUAAAGUACUUUCAGUCGUGAGGAAGGUGUUAAGGUUAAUAACCUUAGCAAUUGACGUUAGCGACAGAAGAAGCACCGGCUAACUCCGUGCCAGCAGCCGCGGUAAUACGGAGGGUGCGAGCGUUAAUCGGAAUUACUGGGCGUAAAGGGCACGCAGGCGGUUAAUUAAGUUGGAUGUGAAACUCCCCGGGCUUAACCUGGGAAUGGCAUUCAAGACUGGUUAGCUAGAGUCUUGUAGAGGGGGUAGAAUUCCAUGUGUAGCGGUGAAAUGCGUAGAGAUGUGGAGGAAUACCGGUGGCGAAGGCGGCCCCUGGACAAAGACUGACGCUCAUGUGCGAAAGCGUGGGGAGCAAACG